UACGGAGGAUGCAAGCGUUAUCCGGAAUGAUUGGGCGUAAAGCGUCCGCAGGUGGCUGUGUAAGUCUGCUGUUAAAUAGUGAGGCUCAACCUCAUAAAGGCAGUGGAAACUACACGGCUAGAGUGCGUUCGGGGCAGAGGGAAUUCCUGGUGUAGCGGUGAAAUGCGCAGAUAUCAGGAGGAACACCGAUGGCGAAGGCAGCUCGCUGGGACGGUACUGACGCUGAGGCGCGAAAGCGUGGGGAGCAAACAGG
rnacentral:rRNA from 1 species